AUCAGUUUAGAUACAUGAGCCGUGGCAGCUUGGGAAUCAGUGUAGUCUGCAACAUGCUCAGUACUGGGGCAGUUGUCUGGCCAAACAGGGUAGAGUGCCGGGAGGGUUCCUGUGUAUGUUAUAUAUAUAUAUAUAUAUAUAUUAAAAGGAGAGAUAAAAUAACUACACAGAAUAAACAUGCGGCACAAGGCAAAUAAUGAGAUGCCCAAUAUAAAUGUUUUUCUCUGUAUUUCCACUUUCAUCCAGGAGGCGCCACCUCUUCCUUUUCUUAUUCCCCAUUCCUAUCCAGGUACUAAGGUGCUUACAGCGACAUUCUGAGGGUUGGAAUUGGAAGCGCAAGAGAACGGACGGCUGCAGUUGGGAGAUUCUCCUUAUAAAGCGUCACUGUGUAUGAGGGAAAUAUGCGGCCAAACGGGGGCCACAAGUGCCAGGGCCCAGGAGCGCAUUUAAAUGAGCUGAAGAGGAGGAUGAACAUCUAGAGAGAACCCUGGGGCAAAACAAAGG